UACGUGAGGGGCGAACGUUGUUCGGUGUCACUGGGCUUAAAGGGCGCGUAGGUGGUUGCGUAAGUAACGUGUGAAAUCCCUCGGCUUACCCGGGGAAUUGCAUGUUAUACUGCGUGGCUUGAGGAUCUCAGGGGAAAGGGGAACUCCAGGUGUAGCGGUGAAAUGCGCAGAUAUCUGGGGGAAGGCCGGCGGCGAAGGCGCCUUUCUGGGGAGAUUCCUGACACUGAGGCGCGAAAGCGUGGGGAGCAAACAGGG
rnacentral:rRNA from 1 species